rnacentral:rRNA from 1 species
CCUACGGGAGGCAGCAGUGGGGGAUAUUGGACAAUGGGGGGACCCCUGAUCCAGCGACGCCGCGGGAGUGAAGAAGUAUUUCGGUAUGUACAGCUCUGUCAGCAGGGAAGAAAGAAAUGACGGUACCUGACCAAGAAGCCCCGGCUAAAUACGUGCCAGCAGCCGGGGUAAUACGUAGGGGGCAAGCGUUAUCCGGAAUUACUGGGUGUAAAGGGAGCGUAGACGGUUAAGUAAGUCUGGAGGUAAAGGCCGGGGCCCAAACCCGGGACUGCUCUGGAACCUAUUGAACUUGAGUGCAGGGGAGGGAAGCGGAAUUCCUAGUGUAGCGGUGAAAUGCGUAGAUAUUAGGAGGAACACCAGUGGCGAAGGCGGCUUACUGGACUGUAACUGACGUUGAGGCCCGAAAGCGUGGGGAGCAAACAGGAUUAGAUACCCGUGUAGUC